rnacentral:piRNA from 1 species
UCAGUUGUCAGGAAAAUAAAAUG